GGUCCUUUCAGCUCAAUCGGUAGAGCAUGACAUCACCGCUGAUGGGGUUAGGGGUUCGAUUCCCACCACUGGGACCA